AAAGACAAAGGAAACCAGUGCUUCUUCAUCUGGGUACCCUCUUCUUGGAGAGUAAGGAAGAAGGUGGUAGAGAAAAUACACUAAUGAGAACAGUUCCCUGCUCCAGGCACCGGAUGGUAUCAUUGGCCCAGAGCAACCAAAAUUGAAGAGAAUCUGCUUGGGGGAAACUCUUGCGAUUGUUGUGCUGGUGCUCAAGAGAGAAUAUACAAACAGCCCAUACAACUCAACAACAAAAAAACAAACAAUGCAAUCCAAAAAUGGACAGAAGACCUAAAUAGACAUUUCUCCAAAGAAGACAUAGAGAUGGCCAACAGAUAGAGGCUCCCUCACGCCCCCCCUCCUGUUUCCUGCUCAGGAUCCCACCCCCAAAGGUCGACAACACUGAUAUCCUUUCGGGAGGUUGUUAGAAAUGCUUACUCAGCCCUCACUUAAGAAUUGCUGAAUCAGAAUCUGCAUUUUACAAGAUCUCCAGGUAUAUACUCAGAAGUGGAAUUUCUGGAUCAUAUA